rnacentral:rRNA from 1 species
AUUGAACGCUGGCGGCAUGCUUUACACAUGCAAGUCGAACGGCAGCGCGGGCUUCGGCCUGGCGGCGAGUGGCGAACGGGUGAGUAAUACAUCGGAACGUGCCCAGUAGUGGGGGAUAGCUCGGCGAAAGCCGGAUUAAUACCGCAUACGACCUGAGGGUGAAAGCGGGGGAUCUUCGGACCUCGCGCUAUUGGAGCGGCCGAUGGCAGAUUAGCUAGUUGGUGGGGUAAAGGCCUACCAAGGCGACGAUCUGUAGCUGGUCUGAGAGGGUGACCGGCCACAUUGGGACUGAGAUACGGCCCAGACUCCUACGGGAGGCAGCAGUGGGGAAUAUUGCACAAUGGGCGGAAGCCUGAUGCAGCAACGCCGCGUGCGGGAUGACGGCCUUCGGGUUGUAAACCGCUUUCGCCUGUGACGAAGCGUGAGUGACGGUAAUGGGUAAAGAAGCACCGGCUAACUACGUG